UACGGAGGAGGCAAGCGUUAUCCGGAAUUAUUGGGCGUAAAGCGUCCGCAGGUGGUUGGCCAAGUCUGCUGUCAAAGGGUGGGGCUUACCCUCAUAAAGGCAGUGGAAACUGGGGAGCUAGAGUGCGGUAGGGGUAGGGGGAAUUCCCAGUGUAGCGGUGAAAUGCGUAGAGAUUGGGAAGAACAUCGGUGGCGAAAGCGCCCUGCUGGGCCUGCACUGACACUGAGGGACGAAAGCUAGGGGAGCGAAAGGG
rnacentral:rRNA from 1 species